CCUACGGGAGGCUGCAGUGGGGAAUAUUGGACAAUGGGCGAAAGCCUGAUCCAGCCAUGCCGCGUGUGUGAAGAAGGCCUUCGGGUUGUAAAGCACUUUCAGUGGGGAAGAAAGCCUUGGGGCUAAUACCCUCGAGGAAGGACAUCACCCACAGAAGAAGCACCGGCUAACUCCGUGCCAGCAGCCGCGGUAAUACAGGAGGGUGCGAGCGUUAAUCGGAAUUACUGGGCGUAAAGCGCGCGUAGGCGGUCUGAUAAGCCGGUUGUGAAAGCCCCGGGCUCAACCUGGGAACGGCAUCCGGAACUGUCAGGCUAGAGUGCAGGAGAGGAAGGUAGAAUUCCCGGUGUAGCGGUGAAAUGCGUAGAGAUCGGGAGGAAUACCAGUGGCGAAGGCGGCCUUCUGGACUGACACUGACGCUGAGGUGCGAAAGCGUGGGUAGCAAACAGGAUUAGAUACCCCAGUAGUC
rnacentral:rRNA from 1 species